rnacentral:rRNA from 1 species
GACGAACGCUGGCGGCGUGCUUAACACAUGCAAGUCGAACGGUAAGGCCCUUCGGGGUACACGAGUGGCGAAGGGGUGAGUAACACGUGGGUGAUCUGCCCUGCACUUCGGGAUAAGCCUGGGAAACUGGGUCUAAUACCGGAUAGGACCACUGCCUGCAUGGGUGGUGGUGGAAAGCUUUUGCGGUGUGGGAUGGGCCCGCGGCCUAUCAGCUUGUUGGUGGGGUGAUGGCCUACCAAGGCGACGACGGGUAGCCGGCCUGAGAGGGUGACCGGCCACACUGGGACUGAGAUACGGCCAGACUCCUACGGGAGGCAGCAGUGGGGAAUAUUGCACAAUGGGCGCAAGCCUGAUGCAGCGACGCCGCGUGAGGGAUGACGGCCUUCGGGUUGUAAACCUCUUUCAGCACCGACGAAGCGCAAGUGACGGUAGGUGCAGAAGAAGGACCGGCCAACUACGUGCCAGCCGCCGCGGUAA